GAUGAACGCUAGCGGAAGGCCUAAUACAUGCAAGUCGAGCGGUAGAGUGACUUCGGUUGCUUGAGAGCGGCGCACGGGUGAGUAACGCGUACAUGACCUACCCUUAAGUAGAGGAUAGCCCUGGGAAACUGGGAUUAAUACACUAUGUGAUUAGGAUUAAUAGAGGAUUCUAAUUAAAGCUUCGGCGCUUAGGGAUGGAUGUGCGUCUGAUUAGCUAGUUGGUGAGGUAAAGGCUCACCAAGGCGACGAUCAGUAGGGGGCGUGAGAGCGUGAUCCCCCACACGGGUACUGAGACACGGACCCGACUCCUACGGGAGGCAGCAGUAAGGAAUAUUGGACAAUGGAGGGAACUCUGAUCCAGCCAUUCCGCGUGGAGGAAGAAGGCCCUAUGGGUUGUAAACUUCUUUUAGAUGGGAAUAAAAUGACUCUUGCGAGAGUUACUGAAGGUACCAUCAGAAUAAGCACCGGCUAACUCCGUG
rnacentral:rRNA from 1 species